AUACGGAGGGUGCAAGCGUUAAUCGGAAUCACUGGGCGUAAAGCGCGCGUAGGUGGCUUGGUAAGUCGGAUGUGAAAUCCCAUGGCUCAACCGUGGAACUGCAUUCGAUACUGCCAGGCUUGAGUGCGGGAGAGGGUGGCGGAAUUCCCGGUGUAGGAGUGAAAUCCGUAGAGAUCGGGAGGAACACCAGUGGCGAAGGCGGCCACCUGGACCGUAACUGACGCUGAGGCGCGAAAGCGUGGGUAGCAAACAGGAUUAGAUACCCUGGUAGUCCACGCCUUAAACGAUGGAUACUAGGUGUCGGGGUGUAACUUCGGUGCCGGAGCUAACGCGUUAAGUAUCCCGCCUGGGGAGUACGGUCGCAAGGCUGA
rnacentral:rRNA from 1 species